UGGAAUCUCUUCCUGUUGGGAUUUCUUUCAUGGUAUGUGUUGCGACGCGAACACUGGCAGAGUUUCUCUCUGAUGACCCUCUUUAAUUUCUAUCUGUAGCUCUUGUGCUUGUCUAUGCACAGCAGAGGAGGCUUUGCUUCUUCUAAUUAAGAAGAGGAUUUUGAAAUAUCUCCUGAAUUCUUGACCUUCAGAAUUCCCUCUGCCAACAUCCCUCUGAUCUGGGGAGAGCACUCUCAAGGGUUGCCACUGUUCGUGUGAAAAUAGCCUCUGAAGAAAGCGGCAGCGAUUGUUCGAUAACUCGCUGCUGGAGGCCGCUGCUGACUCCCCAGGGCGACCCAGGGCCCCCGCAGUGAAACCAGCUUGGUCUCUUCACUCAGACUCCUCCAGCAACCGAGAGGUUUUUGUGGAUCACCGCUGCAGCAUCCCCCAGCACAGUGCCCCUUCCUUUUCCCUGUGGAGGGAAACGUCGGUUCCUCAAGGUGAAGCCAGCGCCUGUGCUCCCUCAGUGUCCCUGCAGAGCAGAUCCACGCUCCUUUGGUUCACUGGCAAGGAGCUACCUGCCUCACACCCAGCCUAGAGAAGGGGAAGGUGUUUCCUGCUUGCCUGUAACCAGAGGAUCGUGGCGGGGACAGAGGUGAUGCAAGUCACGGCCUUCAAAGCCAGGCUGAACUCCUCGCUCCAGUGGGAGGGCGUGCUGGUGGAGGAGAGCAGAGCAAUUUGCAAAUCUGCAGGGAGGGCUGCUCCACAGGGCAGGGGGCAGGCAUGCUGUCGCCCCUGCUGCACACAGCCAGAGCGUUCCCUUCAUCUCCACCAGCAACUUAUAAAUGCCUUAGCAGAUUAUUUCCCUUUAUCCGAGAAAAGGGAAAGAAAGAGUUUUAUUCACCUGCUCCAUUCUAUUCAGUCCUUUGAAGGUCACACCUGUCACACCUAUUGCUUUUUUCUUCCCUUUAGCUGCAGCAUGAGGCUCUGUGGCACAGUGAUAUCACAGAAGAAAUCUUCCCAAGAUGCGAGACAGAGACACCCAAACUAAAAUUCCUGUGCUCCUGCCCAAAGACGGAGCAGCUGGGGAAGGGAGCAUGCUCCAGGCUGCCCUGCACCCCUGGUCUUCUCAGAUGGGGCUGCUGCUGGCAACACCAAGGCAUUGGGUGUGGAUGGCCCCAAUCCUUAAAGGUGUGGUAACUGAGUGGAUUUCAGCACUGAAACAGCUUGUUUCUGACCACUACUGACUGGCCCAAGAAGCUUUGUCACAUCUUGGGAAAGCUGAGGGACAGCAUCUGGAGAAUGGGCACAUGGUAGGAGGACUUUAGGGGACCGAUGGGCUGGAAGUAAAGGGAAUAAAUACCCAAGGUCAUCCCAGUUCCUAAUACUGGUGUAUAUCUUGGAGGAUCCAUAGCUUUUCAUGUCUCCAUCAACACACAGCAGAUCUCCAGAGGGCACACUCCUCUUGUAACCCCUUUCUGCCUGCUCUGGCCAAUAACAUUCCUGGUGUCUUGUCUUGGAGGACUUACUGCAGAGAUCCUUGCUCUUGGGGCUCACAGAUGUCUUGGAGAUGUUCUCCAGGGGGGUGUGGAAGUGUGACAGACUCAAGACAUGCUUAUACAUGAAACUGAGACAGGGGCUGCAAAGCCAUGUACCACCUUGCGCAUGGACUUGACUAAGGAAAUUAACUUCAUGCAACAAGGGCUGUCUGAACCAGCCCUGACAAGGGAUGGCACAUUCAAAAGAUGGGAAUUCAUCCCUUUGAAACUCACCUGCGGCAGAACUCAGCAGGCAGAGAAGAACAGCCCUGGGAUGACAGCGAUACUGCCAUUAAUUGCAACGGGGCCAGGAGAAACAGCAGUGUGCACAACAGUCUCAUGGAGUCAGCAUGUGUGUGCACGUGCUGGUGCUUUCAUUGUUACAGCUGCAGCUCCCGAAAUUAUGAGGAGCUAAUCAGUCUCUUUUGGCAUUCCCACUAACCUUCUCUAUGACUGUGGAUACUAUAGAAAAUGUGAGUACUCAGUGAGAACUGUCUUUCUAUGACUGUGCAUUUUUAACCCGACAACAGAAAAAGCUUCCUUCCUACAUUUGUAUCUGGCUAUCUCAAAGAGGCCCAACCACAAAGGCACAAAAAUCAACAGCAGAAAACGACCACAGGCUUGCUUUUCCUUUUGUGUAAACAUGCUGG